rnacentral:rRNA from 1 species
UACGGAGGGUGCAAGCGUUAUCCGGAUUUAUUGGGUUUAAAGGGAGCGUAGGCGGUCUUAUAAGUCAGUGGUGAAAUCCUAUCGCUUAACGAUAGACGUGCCAUUGAUACUGUAGGACUUGAGUACAGAUGCCGUUGGCGGAAUGUGUCAUGUAGCGGUGAAAUGCAUAGAUAUGACACAGAACACCGAUUGCGAAGGCAGCUGACGAAACUGUAACUGACGCUGAGGCUCGAAAGCGUGGGGAUCAAACAGG